UGCAGCCCAGUCAAAUUCGGUGCCGUCCCCCCGUGGCGGGCACCGGCCACCGGCUGCCACAGCACCUCCGUGGCCGCCUGCCCCGGGUCCCCUCCCGUGGGGCCCGGGCGGCGAAUCCCA
ensembl:snoRNA